CAUGCAGUCGAGCGAACAGACGAGGAGCUUGCUCCUCUGACGUUAGCGGCGGACGGGUGAGUAACACGUGGAUAACCUACCUAUAAGACUGGGAUAACUUCGGGAAACCGGAGCUAAUACCGGAUAAUAUAUUGAACCGCAUGGUUCAAUAGUGAAAGACGGUUUUGCUGUCACUUAUAGAUGGAUCCGCGCCGCAUUAGCUAGUUGGUAAGGUAACGGCUUACCAAGGCAACGAUGCGUAGCCGACCUGAGAGGGUGAUCGGCCACACUGGAACUGAGACACGGUCCAGACUCCUACGGGAGGCAGCAGUAGGGAAUCUUCCGCAAUGGGCGAAAGCCUGACGGAGCAACGCCGCGUGAGUGAUGAAGGUCUUCGGAUCGUAAAACUCUGUUAUUAGGGAAGAACAAAUGUGUAAGUAACUAUGCACGUCUUGACGGUACCUAAUCAGAAAGCCACGGCUAACUACGUGCCAGCAGCCGCGGUAAUACGUAGGUGGCAAGCGUUAUCCGGAAUUAUUGGGCGUAAAGCGCGCGUAGGCGGUUUUUUAAGUCUGAUGUGAAAGCCCACGGCUCAACCGUGGAGGGUCAUUGGAAACUGGAAAACUUGAGUGCAGAAGAGGAAAGUGGAAUUCCAUGUGUAGCGGUGAAAUGCGCAGAGAUAUGGAGGAACACCAGUGGCGAAGGCGACUUUCUGGUCUGUAACUGACGCUGAUGUGCGAAAGCGUGGGGAUCAAACAGGAUUAGAUACCCUGGUAGUCCACGCCGUAAACGAUGAGUGCUAAGUGUUAGGGGGUUUCCGCCCCUUAGUGCUGCAGCUAACGCAUUAAGCACUCCGCCUGGGGAGUACGACCGCAAGGUUGAAACUCAAAGGAAUUGACGGGGACCCGCACAAGCGGUGGAGCAUGUGGUUUAAUUCGAAG
rnacentral:rRNA from 1 species